AUAACAGUGUAUUUUUCCUCUGGAGCAAGAGCUGCAGCUGGAUUCAUCAGGAGGAAUGGGAUGUGAGGGCCUUCCUCAGGUGGGCUGCAUGGGGGAUUGACUGUCAGGUGAGAUGCCAUCAUCUCUUGCCACCUUGGGUGAUAACGAUGCCAUUGACACCUACUCCAACUCUAACCUGAUCACCUCUUCUGGGUCCAGCUGGGCCUUUGAAGAUACCUUCUCACCCAGUUUGCUUUUUUCCCUGGUUCCCCUGUGGUGGUACAUGCUAGAGCCUCGGGCUGGGUGCUGGGGUAGAAGGGUCUCUGGGGGGGGCACUGGUCUGGGGAGAGACAGAAAGGAGCUCUGGGUCUCCUGGGAGGUGACUUGCUCCUCUUGGUACUUCAGGCCAAGGGAAACCACCCAGUUUGGAGGAUUUGGUGCUGGAAAGCAGGUUCAGAGUCUGCCCUCGUUCACACUUCCCCUUCACUCUGCAAACAGCAAAACUGAGACGAUGGUGAUGGCCACUAAGAGAGGAAGGGUCAAGUAUAAUGUCAAUAUUGCUGACCUGCUGCAUGAGGAAUGAAUCAUGCUUGUAUUGCAGGGGCAAGCAAAGAUCAGCAGCCACAGCUGGACAAGAGAGAGGCAUCCCAGAGGUACUGCAAGCCUGUUUUGCUGCUGAGCAUUCUGUACUGUGAAACCACAGCCCCAUGGAGCAAGGGAACAACAGGAGACGCUUGCUGCUUUCAGAAUUAAAUCUAAAUUUGACUGAUGCUAUUUCACCCCUUGAUGAUGCUUUAAUAUAUGAUUAGUUUCUUGUCCCAGAUCAGGCUUUAAUUCCUUCAAGCCCAGGUAUGCCGUGAAACAGGAGACUGCCCAGAGCUACAGUCCAAUCUGUCUCUGGUCCUGAGCACUUCUGUAAUGUCCUCUCUUUCUAGAUGGACAGAUAUCUGCUAAAACACAUUAAAAGCUUUUGUGCAGCCAAACAUGGCUUGUUCUUAAAGGAACUCCAGAGAAGAGGACUUGUUCUAUUUGUUUUGUGUUUAGAAGAUAACUUAAUGGCAGUGGAGGACGUGUCUCAGCCUGGAAAAAUACUGAAGCAGUCAAGGAUGAUUCCACAGGCAUAUUUUUUUCUGCUGAAAUUGGUUUCUCUGUCCAGGGGACAAUACACAAACAAGGAGAUGGGGUAACACAGGGGAUGUGGAAGUAGACAUUGCUGAUAAAAUAAAUGUCCUUCAAAUGCCAGUCUCUGUCCUAUGCUCAAAGAAGGUAUCUGAGAGCAACAACAGCUGCUGUGAUUGUUUGUGUCAUUUUCCUCACCCUUGAGCAUCCUGGGCAACGAUUCUGCAUGGAUCAAAAGAUAAGAAAAGGGAGGUAGAAAAGCUGGGAAAGAAAUCAGUCUUUGAAUAUGAGGGUAAGAAGUAAGCCAUCAGAGACAAAACUGUUUUUAAUUUUGUCUCUGAUAAUGUAGGACUAUGGCACGCAGCUGUCACCAUGGCUGACAUAGCUGCUAUGCAGAAAUGUGAUGGGAAAAAUCUUGGGUAGAAAAAUCUUACUGUCCAUGUAUGAUGAAAGAUGGAAGGGAAGAAAAUAGAAGAGGGAACAGGACAUCUGGGUCCCAGCAGUCUGCAAGUCUCCAUCCAAUAUAUCCUACACCAACAGUGGCUGUCCGUUCACUGGUGGAAGGAAAGCACUCACACUGGCUGCUACCAUGGAAGUGUCUAAUUCUUUUCUUAAAGUUGGCACAGAAAACUACAGGACCACCAUAGUGAACAAGAGUGACAACGCACUGAGCUCCUGCUCCUACCGGGGAGCUUGGUGCUGGUGCCAACUGAACCAAAAGGAAGAAUCAGCAGGAUGAUAAUUUUGACAAAAUGGAAGGCAGAGCUCCGGGAGAUGGUGUUCUGGCCUUCCUUGUAACUGGACCCUUCCUGUCACCCAUUAAU